rnacentral:rRNA from 1 species
UACAGAGGGUGCGAGCGUUAAUCGGAAUUACUGGGCGUAAAGCGUGCGUAGACGGUUAUCUAAGUCGGAUGUGAAAGCCCCGGGCUCAACUUCGGAAUUGCCUCCGAUACUGCCGUGCUUGAGGACUGGAGAGGAGAUUGGAAUUCACAGUGGAGCAGUGAAAUGCGUAGAUAUUGUGAGGAACACUAGUGGCGAAGGCGAAUCUCUGGACAGUUCCUGACGCUGAGGCACGAAGGCCAGGGGAGCAAACGGG